UACGUAGGGGGCAAGCGUUGUCCGGAAUCAUUGGGCGUAAAGAGCGUGUAGGCGGCCCGAUAAGUCCGCUGUGAAAGUCCAGGGCUCAACCCCUGGAAUGCCGGUGGAUACUGUCGGGCUCGAAUCCGGAAGAGGUGAGUGGAAUUCCUGGUGUAGCGGUGAAAUGCGCAGAUAUCAGGAGGAACACCAAUGGCGAAGGCAGCUCACUGGGACGGUAUUGACGCUGAGACGCGAAAGCGUGGGGAGCAAACAGG
rnacentral:rRNA from 1 species